rnacentral:rRNA from 1 species
GAUGAACGCUGGCGGCGUGCCUAAUACAUGCAAGUCGAGCGAACAGACGAGGAGCUUGCUCCUCUGACGUUAGCGGCGGACGGGUGAGUAACACGUGGAUAACCUACCUCUAAGACUGGGAUAACUUCGGGAAACCGGAGCUAAUACCGGAUAAUAUAUUGAACCGCAUGGUUCAAUAGUGAAAGACGGUUUUGCUGUCACUUAUAGAUGGAUCCGCGCCGCAUUAGCUAGUUGGUAAGGUAACGGCUUACCAAGGCAACGAUGCGUAGCCGACCUGAGAGGGUGAUCGGCCACACUGGAACUGAGACACGGUCCAGACUCCGACGGGAGGCAGCAGUAGGGAAUCUUCCGCAAUGGGCGAAAGCCUGACGGAGCAACGCCGCGUGAGUGAUGAAGGUCUUCGGAUCGUAAAACUCUGUUAUUAGGGAAGAACAAAUGUGUAAGUAACUAUGCACGUCUUGACGGUACCUAAUCAGAAAGCCACGGCUAACUACGUG